rnacentral:rRNA from 1 species
UACGUAGGGGGCAAGCGUUGUCCGGAUUUAUUGGGCGUAAAGAGCGUGUAGGCGGCUUGACAGGUCUGCUGUGAAAACUCGAGGCUCAACCUCGAGAUGUCGGCGGAACCCGUCUGGCUAGAGUCCGGAAGAGGAGAGUGGAAUUCCUGGUGUAGCGGUGAAAUGCGCAGAUAUCAGGAAGAACACCUAUGGCGAAGGCAGCUCUCUGGGACGGUACUGACGCUGAGACGCGAAAGCGUGGGGAGCGAACAGG